rnacentral:rRNA from 1 species
AUUGAACGCUGGCGGCAGGCCUAACACAUGCAAGUCGAACGAGUGGCGGACGGGUGAGUAAUGUCUGGGAAACUGCACGAUGGAGGGGGAUAACCACUGGAAACGGUAGCUAAUACCGUCUAACAUGGGAUGUGCCCAGAUGGGCUUAGCUAGUAGGGGGGGAAACGGCUCACCUAGGCGACGAUCCCUAGCUGGUCUGAGAGGAUGACCAGCCACACUGGAACUGAGACACGGUCCAGACUCCUACGGGAGGGAGCAGUGGGGAAUAUUGCACAAUGGGCGCAAGCCUGAUGCAGCCAUGCCGCGUGUAUGAAGAAGGCCUUCGGGUUGUAAAGUACUUUCAGCGAGGAGGCGUUACUCGCAGAAGAAGCACCGGCUAACUCCGUGCCAGCAGCCGCGGUAAUAC